rnacentral:lncRNA from 1 species
AAGCAAUCAGAAUGAGAUGAUAAACAGUGAAUGAAUCAAUGAGUAAAAACACAAAGAAUGGCCAAGACCAGAUUGUGUGAUGGCUUUGAUCAACCGAAAAGAGUAUAGGUUUCUAACUUGUACAAAUCUAAGAAUAACUAAUCAAUUUGGAAUGUUCAAUUUUAGCGCUUUGAGAAACACCAGAAUUCUCAGAGGAUUAGAGAUGUUCGUCUUGCCUUAGUUUGGAGCUGUAGGCCGCUAAGCAGCGUCUCCCGUUACCGGUUGGUUGAGCAGGCGUGCCCUCUCUGGUCCAGGUGCCUCUGCGCCAGGAAUCGUCGCCCGCGGUGAUGAUGACGGCUCGGGGUCAGCGAAGUAACAGUCAGCCAGGCUGGACUUUCCAAGGUGUUUUAAAGCGUCAGCGCUACUUAAACUAGCCCAAAAGGGAAACGGGCUGGAAUCUAAUUUUAUUAGUUCGAUCAAAAAUAGCGAGUCAACUAAUGACUGUUUGUAAUAGUUUCAGUUUCGCUGUGUUUCUUGACAAACAAAAAUUAACAAAAUCUGUUGCUCGUCCGUAUUUCUAAGUUUAACUUAAGUUUACAAAACUCAAGAACAAAGGAAAAUUAAAGGAGUCAUAUCAUGCUUUUCAUUCUAAAAAAUAUUAGACUUUAAUGUCUCAGUAAGGUCUCUGUAAAUUUUCAUCCCAUAAAACCCUUUAGAUCGUCCACACUGCCCCUGUCAAUGUGUGGUUUUCACUCUCCAUCAGCAAACGCUGUGUUUUCUGGGCGUGUCGCCAGCGUAGCUGCUCACCACACCUCUGUGCGGAAGCGCAUACCUUUUUUGUUGUUGUUUUUUUUUUAAAUUGGCUCCAUGGAUACGAGCCACCGCACGGUUAGGAUACAAUAGGUGGCAGUAGUGCGACAUUGAGAAUGCAAUCCACCGCAAUCCUCCACAGAAGAAGAAGACCCACUACAGAACUGCACGACAUUAGUCAUCUGGUUCGUAGCGUAGUAGAACCAUACGUCUACGAUCCCGAAUCUGACCCUGAAGCUGAAGAGGAGGCUGUUGAAGUCACCACAUUUCGGCUGAUGCAAGAUGUGUCUCAUUGUUGUUACAGGUAUCUAAUCUACAGAGGCUAGUGAGCUGGUGCUGAGGAUUCCUAGGGUGAAGAAUCUGAGUUGCCAUCUCUUCAUGCUUGGGUUGUAGAUGAAGGCAGAGUUUCCUGAUGGAUAAAACACUAAAACACUCAUUGUAUGAUGGAUGUAAACCACCUGUGGAAUAACUCCUUUACCAUUUGAGUAAAAAUGUGUUUUUUGUGAGUGCAAUACUCAAAGAAUUUUUUUAUUUUUUAUUUAUAUAUAAUUUAUAUGCUUUUUAUUUAUGGCCGCUUCAACUUUAUAGCUUACCAUAUUAGAAAGAGAAAAAACAUGUAAUUUCAAUACUAUGAUUUCCUGAAUAAAAGUGUUUCCCCUUCAGAAACA